rnacentral:rRNA from 1 species
AGAGUUUGAUCCUGGCUCAGGACGAACGCUGGCGGCGUGCCUAAUACAUGCAAGUCGAACGCUUCUUUUCUACCGAGUGCUUGCACUCACUUGAAAAGAGGAGUGGCGGACGGGUGAGUAACACGUGGGUAACCUACCCAUCAGAGGGGGAUAACACUUGGAAACAGGUGCUAAUACCGCAUAAUAGUCGACAUCGCAUGGUGUUGAUUUGAAAGACGCUUUCGGGUGUCACUGAUGGAUGGACCCGCGGUGCAUUAGCUAGUUGGUGAGGUAACGGCUCACCAAGGCCAUGAUGCAUAGCCGACCUGAGAGGGUGAUCGGCCACACUGGGACUGAGACACGGCCCAGACUCCUACGGGAGGCAGCAGUAGGGAAUCUUCGGCAAUGGACGAAAGUCUGACCGAGCAACGCCGCGUGAGUGAAGAAGGUUUUCGGAUCGUAAAACUCUGUUGUUAGAGAAGAACAAGUAGGAGAGUAACUGCUCUUACCUUGACGGUAUCUAACCAGAAAGCCACGGCUAACUACGUGCCAGCAGCCGCGGUAAUACGUAGGUGGCAAGCGUUGCCCGGAUUUAUUGGGCGUAAAGCGAGCGCAGGCGGUUUCUUAAGUCUGAUGUGAAAGCCCCCGGCUCAACCGGGGAGGGUCAUUGGAAACUGGGAGACUUGAGUGCAGAAGAGGAGAGUGGAAUUCCAUGUGUAGCGGUGAAAUGCGUAGAUAUAUGGAGGAACAUCAGUGGCGAAGCGACUCUCUGGUCUGUAACUGACGCUGAGCUCGAAAGCGUGGGGAGCAACAGAUUAGAUACCCUGGUAGUC